GACGAACGCUGGCGGCGUGCCUAAUACAUGCAAGUAGAACGAGUUGCGAACGCGUGAGUAACGCGUUGGAACCCGCCUCAUAGCGGGGGAUAACUAUCGGAAACGAUAGCCAAUACCGCAUACCAAUGUAUGGACCUGCAUUGGAUUAGCUAGUUGUUGGGGUAAAGGCUCACCAAGGCGACGAUACAUAGCCGACCUGAGAGGGUGACCGGCCACACUGGAACUGAGACACGGCCCAGACUCCUACGGGAGGCAGCAGUGGGGAAUCUUGCGCAAUGGGCGGAAGUCUGACGGAGCAACGCCGCGUGUAUGAAGAAGGCCUUCGGGGUGUAAAGUACUUUCAGCGGGGAGGCGUUACCCGCAGAAGAAGCACCGGCUAACUCCGUGCCAGCAGCCGCGGUAAUUC
rnacentral:rRNA from 1 species